rnacentral:lncRNA from 1 species
GCCAGACCGAAGCCGGGAAGAGACAAAGCUGGCGGCCAGUGGGUCUUGCAAGGCCAAGAAAGAUAUAUGCUUAAUGGUGAGAGUGUACCUCCCAUGGACAUGACUUGAAUAGAUCACCUAGAAAUGACAGUUGUCCAUUCAGAACUGUCAAUGAAGAGGAAGCAGCAAAACUGAAAAGACAAAUACUAAAAGAAGUAUCCAGCUGAGAAAUGCAUAUGCAUGUCUAUGAGUUCAGAAUAAGAUGUCAGAUUCCCUAAAACUGAAGGUUUUAUAUAUUUACUGAAUACUGGUUGGAUAUUAUUUUUGCUUUUUAUAAUUUGUCUAUUCAGAAGAAUACACCAAAGGAAGCUGGAUAUAGAAAAA